AUUGAACGCUGGCGGCAUGCCUUACACAUGCAAGUCGAACGGUAACAGGUCUUCGGAUGCUGACGAGUGGCGAACGGGUGAGUAAUACAUCGGAACGUGCCCGAUCGUGGGGGAUAACGGAGCGAAAGCUUUGCUAAUACCGCAUACGAUCUACGGAUGAAAGCAGGGGACCGCAAGGCCUUGCGCGGACGGAGCGGCCGAUGGCAGAUUAGGUAGUUGGUGGGAUAAAAGCUUACCAAGCCGACGAUCUGUAGCUGGUCUGAGAGGACGACCAGCCACACUGGGACUGAGACACGGCCCAGACUCCUACGGGAGGCAGCAGUGGGGAAUUUUGGACAAUGGGCGAAAGCCUGAUCCAGCCAUGCCGCGUGCAGGAUGAAGGCCUUCGGGUUGUAAACUGCUUUUGUACGGAACGAAAAGACUCUUUCUAAUAAAGAGGGUCCAUGACGGUACCGUAAGAAUAAGCACCGGCCAACUACGUG
rnacentral:rRNA from 1 species